AAUUUUAACAAAAGAGUAGCAGAUAGGCAGAACAACUAUUAUGGCUAAGACUGAGAUAGAGCUCCCAAUACAGAGCUUUCCCCUCCCUAGAGCUGAAAUCAAAUGUCUUUGGAAAGGGCACAACUUCGAUUCACUGGAUGGUGGAAAAGUCACUGAUGUGCCUCGUAAGUGGGAGCAUAAGUGGGAGUUGCUAGAAGUUUCUGGGGUACCACGGAAGCCAUCCACAUGAAAGUGGAGUCUUAGUCAUGAGAUUGAACUCACUGAAUGUCAGAGGGAGCUGAUGGGCACCACUGGAACUGGAAUCUGGAGAAGCAGCCCUCUAUAGGAGCCCAGCAUACUUGCAGGAUGUCCCUGGGAUUCUAGGGCUGAAAAGAUGUGGGGAGCAGCGACCUGGUUUGGUGUGCAGGGCCAUACUGUGUGGGAAAUCCCAGAUACACCAUCCCUAUCUCCAGCUGAACACUGGAGAAAAGUUGGAACCUGCAGCAUGGGAGAAACCACAUAGGAAAUAGCAUGCACGGUGGUGGGGGUUGGGGUGUGCCCUACAAGAGCCUAGAGAGUGAGCAUACCAGAACCAGCAAAGGAAAAUCCCUUCCUCCUCCAGUGUCCUUCCAGAACCCUCUGCUGAAAAGCUUUAACACUAGGCUGGUUAGCAAAGGAGACAUUUUUACAAAAUCCUUCUUCAUUUAUUACAAAGUAGGCCAAAAAAUGGUGAAUUUGGAGCUAAAAGGAAAUCAAUAAAGAGCAUAGUCUGCCCCUUUGAGUAAUCACUGUCCAUAUAUACCUUCUACACACACUUGAAUGCCGUACAAUAAUAACUCUACAUUUUACCUAACAGGAUACUCAUCAUCUUCAAAAUGAGGAGAUGCAACAAUCAUUGCAUACAGUGUUGUGGUUAUAUUAAUGGCCCUUCAGAAUCCAUCACAGUUCCACUGGAUAGUCUGUUGCCUAAAGACUAAUUGUAAACUUAACCUCUAGCAACUUGCAUAUCAAAUUUUUGAUAAUAGGAAGGAGCCAACCAGAGGAAAAUGUGAGCAUAUACACCUAAGUACAUAUACAUGAAAAGCAAAAAGGAAAUACGCAAAGUGACUACAGUCCUUUUUUCUGCAAUUGGUCACCAGGUCCUAACUGUUACCUAUGGCUUCCUUUUUCUGCUAUUCAUUGAUUUCACCCACCUUCAGCCAGAACCUGGUAGAGUAAUUGAAACUGUCACUUCUGAAAGGUCCAAGUCCUCAAUUAUCCUGCCUUUUUUUGUUUUGUUUUGUUUAUGCACUUUUCCACUACACUUUUCUAUUGCAUAUGGAGUACUAAUAUACACCCCAAACUGUCUCCUGAGUUACAAACAUAGUCCUCCUUGCCCCUAAUGUAUAAAGGCAGCCCGGUUUUCUCUUGGCAAUAGGGAUCAAUCACUCCACCUAGAAGAGAAAUCCACCUUUCUGCCGGUUGAUUCAGUAGCAUAAGGAAUCUGAAACUGCCAAGUGGAAAUCUUUCUCCAAUUCAACAGAACCAUUAUGUCUCAUGGUGGAAACACACUCCAUAUAAGGACUCAGAUCUCUGAAAUAGCAGAGCUCAAAGAUGCCAGAAGAAGCAAAUAUUCUGCAAGUGUGUUAUUAGUGUUGCUCUGGUCUGAAGGUUGGUGACGUCUCAAAAUUUAUAUGUUGAAAUGUAAUCACAAAUGUGAUAGUAUUAAGAAGUGGGUCCUUUAGGAAGUGAUUAAGUCAUGAGAGUGGAGCCCUCAUGAAUGAGAUUAGUGCCUUGGUAAAAGAGGUGCAAGGGAACUGUUCACCCCUUCCUCCAGGUGAAGAGCAACAAGAAGAGGCCAUAUUGGAAGCAGAGAGCAAGCCCUCACAAGACACUGAAUCUGUUUGAUCUGAGAUUUACCAACCUCAAAAACUAGAAACAGAACCAAUGGGAUGUACAUAAAAAGAAGUUUAUUGUAAGAAAUUGUCACAUGUGAUUAUGGAGGCUGACAAAUCCCAAUAUGUGCAGGGAGAGGGGGCAGGCUGGAGACUCAGGGGAGCGUGUGUUGAACCAGAGCCAAUGUGGGUUUGCAAAAACCACUGGGCAAGACAAAUUAACUCCACGUCUGCUCACAUCUGCUGUACAGAAAACCCAGCAUGACUAAUCUAGCCUACAAUUUGACAGAGACAGAACUCAUUAUAAGCAGUUAUUCUUCAGGUGCCCCAGUGAUUACCUGCUCAACCAACAGAACAGAAAGUGUCUUAAAGCCACUGCAUAAAGAGAGACCAUUCUGUAUUUCAAGGCUGGAGUUAUGCAACAAUAAAGCUGUAUCUUCAAGC